CCUACGGGUGACAGCAGUGAGGAAUAUUGGUCAAUGGGCGUAAGCCUGAACCAGCCAAGUCGCGUGAGGGAUGAAGGUUCUAUGGAUCGUAAACCUCUUUUAUAAGGGAAUAAAGUGUGGGACGUGUCCUAUUUUGUAUGUACCUUAUGAAUAAGGAUCGGCUAACUCCGUGCCAUCAGCCGCGGUAAUACGGAGGAUCCGAGCGUUAUCCGGAUUUAUGGGGUUUAAAGGGUGCGUAGGCGGCCUUUUGAGUCAGCGGUGAAAGUCUGUGGCUCAACCAUAGAAUGGCCGUUGAAACUGGGGGGCUUGAGUAUGUUUGAGGCAGGCGGAAUGCGUGGGGUAGCGGUGAAAUGCUUAGAUAUCACGCAGAACCACGAUUGCGAAGGCAGCCUGCCAAGCCAUGACUGACGCUGAUGCACGAAAGCGUGGGGAUCAAACAGGAUUAGAUACCCUUGUAGUC
rnacentral:rRNA from 1 species